GUCUAUAAGAAGGUUUAUAUAGUCUAUCCUGCCCAUUGGUUUAACUUAACGGCUGCGGUAUUUUGACCGUACAAAGGUAGCAUAAUAAUUAGAUUUUUAAAUGGAAUCUAGAAUGAAUGGAUUGACAAGGGGAAUACUGUCUUACAGUAAGAAUAGAAUUUAAUUUUUAAGUGAAAAAGCUUAAUUGAGUUAGGGGGACGAUAAGACCCUAUAAAAUUUUAUAAGUUUUAUUAAAAGUUUGAGAAUUGUUAAUAAAAUUAAUUUUUAUAAAAUUUAUUUUGCUGGGGCGGCAUAUUAUUAUAAUUAUAAUUAACUAUUAUUAGAAUAAUCAUAAGUAAAUGAAAAUUAAUUGAUCCUAAGAAAGAUUAAAAGAUUAAAUUACUUUAGGGAUAACAGCGUUAUUUUUUUGGAGAGUUCUUAUUAAAAAAAAAGAUUGCGACCUCGAUGUUGAAUUAAAUAUUUCUUUAUAAUGCAGAAGUUAUACAAGAAGGUCUGUUCGACCUUUAAAUAUUU
rnacentral:rRNA from 1 species